AUGCGACAGAUUCCGGUUGGUCGAGCUGCUCCGCUGCCGGCCGGCGCCCCUCGCCGCCUCCCUCCAGUCCGGUGGCCACAGCGCCCUCUCGCCGUUCAAGCUAUCGAACGCACAUCCGGAGCACACAAAAGAGAGAGCGCCCGCGCCCCCGCCCCCGUUGCCCCGCGCGACACGGCGAUUUCGCGAGCCCUAGCGAAUCUUGAGGCCCUCGGUGGAAUCGAAAAUCAAGCUGGGGAUGCUGGCUCGCCGGCGGUCCGGCGGAGCGUGAAUGAUCUGGUGGCAUGCCCUCUGGAGGUGAUCCUUUCCAGGGAGCCAAAGUUGGUGGUGGGAGAGGCACCAUGCAUGGACAAGGACUAUUUCGAGAUGAAUAUCGGACAAGGGGUUCGAUCUAAUUUAUCCAUAGCAACAACCCUCCUCUAUAAUGAGCCUGCAAUAUAA
rnacentral:rRNA from 1 species